rnacentral:misc_RNA from 1 species
GGUAUGCGAUUCUCUGCAGCUGCAGCAAGCAGAUCUUCUUCAGUGAUUGUAGAUCGAGGGAGGGUCCUUCCAAUUUUCUUUUCCCAUAAAGCUGCAAGCUCGUUUAUGUUGUAAAAAUUGCAGGGUGGUCGGAAAUGAACUGACUUGUUCAGAGUCCGAACAUCAUCCACAAUUUUCAUUGUAAAUUUCCCAAUGUCUGUCCCAGCAACGAAAUAUGCUUUAACAUUGCCAUCACCGUAGAUUUGG